rnacentral:rRNA from 1 species
AUUGAACGCUGGCGGCAGGCCUAACACAUGCAAGUCGAGCGGGGUUUUCGGACCUAGCGGCGGACGGGUGAGCAAUGCGUAGGAAGCUACCCGAUAGAGGGGGAUACCAGUUGGAAACGACUGUUAAUACCGCAUAAUGUCUACGGACCAAAGUGUGGGACCUUCGGGCCACAUGCUAUCGGAUGCGCCUACGUGGGGUUAGCUAGUUGGUGAGGUAAUGGCUCACCAAGGCGACGAUCCCUAGCUGGUUUGAGAGGAUGAGCAGCCACACUGGAAGUGAGACACGGUCCAGACGCCUACGGGAGGCAGCAGUGGGGAAUAUUUGAAAAUGGGCGCAAGCCUGAUCCAGCCAUGCCGCGUGUGUGAAGAAGGCCUUCGGGUUGUAAAGCACUUUCAGUAGGGAGGAAGCGUUGUGUGUUAAUAGUACACAGCGUUGACGUUACCUACAGAAGAAGCACCGGCUAACUCUGUGCCAGCAGCCGCGGUAAAAC